rnacentral:misc_RNA from 1 species
AACAGCCAUAAAUGCGUCCACCAUCUGAAACAGGAAAACAAAAACCGUCAUAUAAUGUCGACAACCGACAUCCUUGGUUUUGAUUUGUUGAGAAUAUAAUCUAGCAUUUAGGACCCUAAAGCAAGAAUGCCAUUCAAAUUAAAUAAGCUAAGUUGUUAAUCAUGCUAAUAUGUAGUUCAUAGUCCCUCCAUCCAAUAAAUAUAAGUUUACUUUCUUUUUUAUCUGUUCCAAAUAAUAGGCCAUUUUCCUUUUUGAAAUAGUAGUUUACUCAUUAAUUUACUAAUAUGCCCCUAAUUAAGUAUUGAAAAUGUAAAAUUUAUUAGUUUCAAGAAUAAUUUAGUA